GUGGGAUCCCUCGGGAUCGCCUUUCCCGGGAAUGUGGGAGUCUGGAAUUCCCAUGGAAUUCCCAUGAACCGCUCAUGGAUAGAACCCCUUGGAAUUCCCGCUUUUUCCUUGGAUUCUUUGGGAAUUUUCCUCUCCCAGCUCAUGGAAUUCAUUGAUAAAACCUCUGGGAAUUCCCGUCUGGAAUUCCGACCCUUCGCGGUUAAUUCCUGAAAAUCCCUCGGGAAAAGCUCUGGAAUUCCAAAGCCUCCUGGUUAAUCCCAGAAAACUUUUCAGGAGAAGCUCUGGAAUUCCGACCCCUCCCGGACAGGGAAUUCCGGCUUCUUUUCCUGGCGGGGUUUUCCCUCCCUGUGGGCCGGGAAUUCCGGACUUUUCAUGGACUUUUCUUGGACUUUUCCCGGACUUUUUCCGGCCUUUUCCUGGCCUUUUCCCGGCCUUUUCUUGGACUUUUCCCAGACUUUUCCCGGCCUUUUCCCGACCUUUUCCCGGCCUUUUCCGGACCUUUUCCCGGCCUUUUCCCGACCUUUUCCCGACCUUUUCCCGACCUUUUCCCGACCUUUUCCUGGCCUUUUCCCGACCUUUUCCCGACCUUUUCCCGACCUUUUCCCGGCCUUUUCCCGACCUUUUCCUGGCCUUUUCCCGACCUUUUCCCAGCCUUUUCCCGGACUUUUCCCGGCCUUUUCCCGGCCUUUUCCGGACCUUUCCGGGCUCUGUUCCCAGGUACUUCCAGAGCAUUUACGACACGGCCGAGGGCCUCGGGCUGAGCUACCCCGAGGGGCUGAGCCCGGAGCAGCGCCUGGAGUUCGUCACCGACACCGCCCAGGUGCCCCGGGAAUUCCGGGAAUUCCGGGGGUUCCUGGAAUUCCUGGGGUUUGGGAUCUGGGAUUUGGCAUUCAGGGGAUUUCUGGGAUUCCUGGGAUUCGAGAUCUGGGACAUCCCUGGGAUUUGGGAUUUGGGCCGGAACAGGAAUCGGAGGGGAGGGAAGGCAGAAAAGGCGGGAAAAGCUGGGAAGGAGCCGGGCGGGAUUCGGGAUUGGCAGAGGGAGGAAAGCUGGGAAAAGGGGCGGGAAUAAACGGGAAUAAAUCCCCAGGGGUUUGGGAGGAGGCGGGGAAAGCCGGGAACGGGGGCGGGGCGGGAGGGAUCCGGGGGAGCUUCGGGCCGGAAUUGCCGGAAUUCCCGGAAUUCCCGGAAUUCCCGCCGUUUCCAGGCCCUGUCCCAGGUGGCCACGCUGGUGGCCCGGGCGCUGUUCUCGCUGGCCGGGGGAGCCGCCGGCGCCGCCGAGAGCAUCCGGGCGGAUCCCAAAACGGUGGGAAUCCAUCCCGGAAUGCCGGGAAUGCCGGGAGUCCACACCUGGCCUGGCGUCCCUGGAAUUCCCCAGUUUUCCUGAAAACCCUGGAAUUAGGAUCCCCGGUUUUGUUGAGAUCCCUGGAAUUGGAAUCGCCAAUUUUCCUGAAAUCCUGGAGUUUGGAAUCUCCGAUAUUCCUGAAAUCCCUGGAAUUGGGAUCGCAAAUUUUCCUGAAAUCUCUGAAAUUGGAAUUUCCAAUUUUCCUGAAAUCCCUGGAAUUGGGAUCCUAAAUUUUCCUGGGAUUCCUAGAAUUGGAAUCGCCAGUUUUCCUGAAAUCCUGGAGUUUGGAAUCUCCGAUAUUCCUGAAAUCCCUGGAAUUAGGAUCCCAAAUUUUCCUGAAAUCCCUGGAAUUGGAAUCUCCAAUUUUCCUGAAAUCCUUGGAAUCGGAAUCCCAAAUUUUCCUGAAAUCCCUGGAAUUAGAAUCGCCAGUUUUCCUGAAACCCCUGGAAUUAGGAUUCCCAGUGUUGUUGAGAUUCCUGGAAUUGGGAUCCCCAGUUUUCCUGAAAUCCUGGACUUUGGAAGCUCCAAUAUUCCUGAAAUCCCUGGAAUUAGGAUCCUCAAUUUUCCUGGGAUCCCUGGAAUUAGAAUCCUCAAUUUUCCUGGGAUCCUUGGAAUCAGA
rnacentral:lncRNA from 1 species